rnacentral:rRNA from 1 species
CCUACGGGAGGCAGCAGUAAGGAAUAUUGGUCAAUGGAGGCAACUCUGAACCAGCCAUGCCGCGUGCAGGAAGAAGGCCCUAUGGGUCGUAAACUGCUUUUGUACCAGAGAAAACCCGAGUACGUGUACUCGGUUGAUAGUAUGGUAAGAAUAAGCAUCGGCUAACUUCGUGCCAGCAGCCGCGGUAAGACGAAGGAUGCAAGCGUUAUCCGGAUUCAUUGGGUUUAAAGGGUGCGUAGGCGGACUGAUAAGUCAGUGGUGAAAUCUCUCGGCUUAACCGAGAAACUGCCAUUGAUACUGUUAGUCUAGAGUAUAGAUGACGUUGGCGGAAUAUGACAUGUAGUGGUGAAAUACUUAGAUAUGUCAUAGAACACCGAUUGCGAAGGCAGCUAACGAAACUAUAACUGACGCUGAGGCACGAAAGUGCGGGGAUCAAACAGGAUUAGAUACCCUGGUAGUCCGCACCGUAAACGAUGAUUACUCGUUGUUGGCAAUAUGACCGUCAGCGACCAAGCGAAAGCGAUAAGUAAUCCACCUGGGGAGUACGCCGGNAACGGUUGAAACUCAAAGGAUUGACGGCUUGAGACGNGCGAGACGACGACGAGGAGGAGG